rnacentral:tRNA from 2 species
GGGGGAGUGGCGGAAUUGGCAGACGCGUUGGACUUAGGAUCCAAUGGGGACACACCCCGUGCGGGUUCAACUCCCGCCUCCCCCA